UUAAAGUUGGAAUUUCAAAAGGCCUUUGACAGUGUGAGUUGGAGUUGCCUUUUGCAGAUCUUACAAGCUCGAGGCUUCCCGCAGAAAUGGACCCAAUGGAUUUCCUCCCUUCUAUCCACUGGCAAAUCGCGUGUGUUAAUGAAUGGAGAACUUGGUGAUGUUUUUUCUGCCAAGAAGGGCUUCCGUCAAGGGGAUUCUCUCUCUCCCUACCUUUUCAUCUUGGUUGCGGAUGUGCUCCAACGCCUAUGCUGCAUACAUUUCCAGGCCGGCAGCUUGCUGCACCCCCUCGGUUCAGAUGUUCUGUUUCCUGUUUUGCAAUAUGCGGAUGACACUCUACUCAUCUUCCAGGGAAAUUUGCAACAAGCUCAGGUUAUCAAAAACAUCCUUUCUGCCUUAUCAGGUUUCUCUGGCCUGCAAAUAAACUUCCACAAAAGCACAUUGAUCCCGGUUUCAGUUGAGACUGAUACUGCUUUGGAGAUUGCUCAUCUUCUUGGUUGUCCAGUCUCCUCCUUCCCGUGCACAUACCUCGGUCUGCCUUUGUCUUUGAAUAAGAUUACACAUGGUAUGCUCCUACCAGUGAUCCAUAAAGUCGACAAGACGCUGUCGGGCUGGCUAGCUACUUUUCUUUCAUGGGGAGGCAGGCUUACGCUGAUCAACUCGGUGCUUGCCGGCAUUCCGAGUUACUUCAUGACUUGCUUCCCAUGGCCAAAGGAGUCCAUCAAUAAGCUGGAGGGCUUGCCGCGCGCCUUCUUCUAG
rnacentral:rRNA from 1 species